UACGUAGGCAGCGAGCGUUGUUCGGAAUUACUGGGCGUAAAGAGUGUGUAGGCGGUGUUCCCAGUCUGUUGUGGAAAUCUCCCGGCUUAACUGGGAGGGUGCAGCGGAAACUAGAAGUGCUAGAGGGUGGGAGAGGUAAGCGGAAUUCCGUGGUGUAGCGGUGAAAUGCGUAGAUAUCAGGAGGAACACCUGUGGUGUAGACAGCUUACUGGACCACUUCUGACGCUGAGACACGAAAGCGUGGGUAGCAAACAGG
rnacentral:rRNA from 1 species